rnacentral:lncRNA from 1 species
CCAGGGCACACCGGAAUGCCAGGCAUCAUGUGGGAAUGUGAGGAAAAAGGCGCAUUCACCACCCAAAUCACUGCUGGAUCCAGAGAAACUGCAAGCCUGGACCAGAGCAGCCCUGAGGAGAAACGAGCUGUAGACCGGGCGUCUGGCGGAAAGCGUUCCCUCUUCAGAGAGAUUGUAAUGCAGGUUUGCGACACCAAAUACUCCAUUUAAAGUUCCUGGGAUGCUUGGAGCAAGUGGGAAGAAAAAGCAUCAAGGUAACUGAACACCGAACAAGGCCAAGCGAAAACAAAAAGCAAACAAAACAUGGCCGCGGACCUCUGCAGAGUGAUCUGACUUGCCUUGACCACAGCGAAACCUUCAGGGUGCAGGUGAACACGGGACAAAGAGAACCAGGCAGAAGACAGGUGAGCGAGUAGGACUCCUUGCUCUCUUGACGUGGGUCAUCCGCUUCACAGGGCUCUAAGUGUCCCAGCCAGCCUGAGGAGGAAGGCAGGGCAGGCAGCAGAAUGCGUGGUUCCCCAGCAGGAAGCUCUGGCUCUGAGAUCAAAUACAUUUCCCAUAGUCCCCUGGACAGGACCUAGCUUGGCACCAGCUCUUUCCUGAAACUCGGAAGGUCAAGAGAACAAGGGUCUCUUUCUGAGUAAACCCUGAGAAGUCGUUGGUUCACCAGCAGCUCCUCAGUGAAGGCAGAAACCCUGGCUUGUGCUCGGGGUGGAGGGAAGUGAAACGAAGGAUUCUCACUGAGCUAAGGGAAACUAGACCCAGAAUGGAACCUCUGCAAAUGUUGCCUUUUACUUGGAGUUUGCAAGUCACAUUUAAAAAAUUGUCUACUGAUUGCUUUAACAUUGAUUCUCAUUGAUGUGUUUGUAAGUUCUUCUGUUUGAAAGGAGAGAGCAGAGGCGCCUGGGCGGCUCAGUCAGUUAGAUAAGAUCUCCAGGUCCUGGGAUUGAGCCCCACAUUGGGCUCCCUGCUCAGUGGGGAGUGGGCUUCGCCCUCUCUCUCUGCCCCUCCCCCUGCAAAUUCUCUCUCCCAAAUGAAUAAAUAAAAUCUUAAAAAAAAAAAAAAAGGAGAG